rnacentral:rRNA from 1 species
GACGAACGCUGGCGGCGUGCCUAAUACAUGCAAGUUGAGCGCUCAAGGUUGGUACUUGUUCCUACUGUAUUAGCAGCGGACGGGUGAGUAACACGUGGGGAAUCUGCCUUUGAGCGGGGGACAACAUUUGGAAACGAAUGCUAAUACCGCAUAAUAACUUUAAACACAAGUUUUAAGUUUGAAAGAUGCAAUUGCAUCACUCAAAGAUUAUCUCGCGUUGUAUUUGCUAGUUGGUGAGGUAAAGGCCCACCAAGGGGAUGAGACAUAGCCGACCUGAGAGGGGGAUCGGCCACAUUGGGACUGAGACACGGCCCAAACUCCUACGGGAGGCAGCAGUAGGGAAUCUUCGGCAAUGGGCGAAAGUCUGACCGAGCAACGCCGCGUGAGUGAAGAAGGUGUUCGGAUCGUAAAACUCUGUUGGUAGAGAAGAACGUUGGUGAGAGUGGAAAGCUCAUCAAGUGACGGGAACUACCCAGAAAAGGACGGCUAACUACGUGC